AUGGAAAAACUUGUGACUAUUAUGCAUUUCUUCACAGCACAGUACUUUGUGUGCUGGGGGCAAGACAGAGUUAAACAGCCUUCAAUAGAAAUGACUGCAAAACAAGGAGAUCCAGUUACUCUACUGUGCAAUUAUUCCACCACAACUACAAAUGCAUAUAUCUUCUGGUACAAACAACUAUCAAAUAGAUCACCAACCUUCAUUCUGAAUAAAUAUUCAUUUAGUGAAGGAAUAACUGAGGCUGAUAUUAAUAAGAGAUUUUCAGCAACACUGGACUCCACAUCAAGAAGAGUUCCACUGACAAUCCAGGAUGUGCAUGUGUCUGACUCUGCUGUGUACUACUGUAGUCAAAAAGUGUGCAUGCCUCUGGAUCAGCAUCCAUCAUCUGAGGUCAGUUAG